rnacentral:tRNA from 1 species
GGAUGGAUGUCUGAGCGGUUGAAAGAGUCGGUCUUGAAAAUCGAAGUAUUGAUAGGAAUAUCGGGGGUUCGAAUCCCUCUCCAUCCAC